CCUUGUCCUUCUCCGCCCAGCCAAUAAUGUUCCAUUCGUCUUUGCCGGUGGCCGGAAAUGGUGGCCCGAGAGGCCGGCCAAAUGCUUUCUUCUGCCCCUGGGCGCCGGUGAUCUGCCAUGGGCGACGGGAGGCCACACCCCAUGCGCUGUCCGAUGACUGUGACUUCCAGGAUCUGCUCUCCGUGCAACACCAAGAGGCCCUAACAAGUGUGCAAGCGUUGUUCCUUCAACAUCCAAAAAGCAGCCGUGGCAUGAUGACCAUUGUUGAUCACCUCAAACACCUCUGCAUUGACCAAUAUUUCCAAGACGAGAUCGGCAAUGUCGUGGACUCAUGCAUGGAUCUCAUACGUAGUGAUAAUCUCCUCGAUGUAACCCUUUCCAUGAGGCUGAUGAGGGAAGGUGGAUAUCAUGUUUCGGCUGGUCAGCAAACUACAUUUUAUAUAUUUUUACAAAAUAGUGUGAGUGGUAUAAUAACAUAGGUGUAGCCAACUCCAGAAUAAAAUAUAUUGUCUUCCUUAAGCAGAUUUUCCCAGAUAACAAUUUUUUUUCAUUAUAUGUACUUGCCUGAAAA